CCCUUAGAUGUUCUGGGCCGCACGCGCGCUACACUGAUACGUUCAACAAGUUUAGAACCUUGACUGAGAGGUCUGGGUAAUCUUUUGAAUGCGUAUCGUGUUAGGGAUAGAUUAUUGCAAUUAUUAAUCUUGAACGAGGAAUUCCUAGUAAACGCAAGUCAUCAGCUUGCGUCGAUUACGUCCCUGCCCUUUGUACACACCGCCCGUCGCUCCUACCGAUUGGGUGUGCUGGUGAAAUGUUCGGAUCGGCCGUUUGUCGCGGUUUCCGCGUCAUGUGGCUGAGAAGUUCAUUAAACCCUCCCACCUAGAGGAAGGAGAAGUCGUAACA
rnacentral:rRNA from 1 species